rnacentral:rRNA from 1 species
UGGAUCCAGACUUUGAUUAUGGCUCAGGAUGAACGCUAGCGACAGGCUUAACACAUGCAAGUCGAGGGGCAGCGGGGAGCGAGGCUUGCUUUGCUCCGCCGGCGACCGGCGCACGGGUGAGUAACACGUAUGCAACCUGCCCCUGUCUGUGGGAUAAUCGGAAGAAAUUCCGUCUAAUACCGCAUAACGCCCUAAGAGGACAUCCUCUUAGGGCCAAAGGAGCGAUCCGGACAGGGAUGGGCAUGCGGCGCAUUAGGCAGUUGGCGGUGUAACGGACCACCAAACCGACGAUGCGUAGGGGUUCUGAGAGGAAGGUCCCCCACACUGGUACUGAGACACGGACCAGACUCCUACGGGAGGCAGCAGUGAGGAAUAUUGGUCAAUGGGCGGGAGCCUGAACCAGCCAAGUCGCGUGAGGGAAGACGGCCCUAUGGGUUGUAAACCUCUUUUGCCGGGGAGCAAGAGGCGCCACGCGUGGCGCCGUGAGAGUACCCGGAGAAAAAGCAUCGGCUAACUCCGUGCCAGCAGCCGCGGUAAUACGGAGGAUGCGAGCGUUAUCCGGAUUUAUUGGGUUUAAAGGGUGCGUAGGCGGGCUGUUAAGUCAGCGGUAAAAUUGCGGGGCUCAACCCCGUCGAGCCGUUGAAACUGGCGGCCUUGAGUAGGCGAGAAGUGUGCGGAAUGCGUGGUGUAGCGGUGAAAUGCAUAGAUAUCACGCAGAACUCCGAUUGCGAAGGCAGCACGCCGGCGCCUUACUGACGCUGAAGCACGAAAGCGUGGGUAUCGAACAGGAUUAGAUACCCUGGUAGUCCACGCAGUAAACGAUGAGCGCUAAUUGUCCGGGGGGGAAUGACCCCUGGGUGAUACAGUGAAAACGUUAAGCGCUCCACCUGGGGAGUACGCCGGCAACGGUGCAACUCAAAUGAAUUGACGGA